rnacentral:lncRNA from 1 species
AACAAUAUGCGGCUGAAAUUUUCUGCAGCACAGAUUUUUAAGUAUAGCAGAUUGGAUGUAAAAGAUCAGUAGGUUAUAUUGAGAAUUUUUUGAUGACACCAAAGGGAAAUCCACUAUUAGGAAGUGUCAAAGCUAUCAUAAAAAUAUCGUAGAGAUUUGGAUAGAAACAACGUAGUAUCAAGAUCAAACAAACAGUGCUAUGUGGCUGAAAUUUUACAGGGCAGAUUUUC